UACGAAGGGGGCUAGCGUUGUUCGGAUUUACUGGGCGUAAAGCGCACGUAGGCGGAUUGUUAAGUCAGGGGUGAAAUCCUGGAGCUCAACUCCAGAACUGCCUUUGAUACUGGCAAUCUUGAGUCCGGAAGAGGUGAGUGGAACUCCUAGUGUAGAGGUGGAGUUCGUAGAUAUUAGGAAGAACACCAGUGGCGAAGGCGGCUCACUGGUCCGGUACUGACGCUGAGGUGCGAAAGCGUGGGGAGCAAACAGG
rnacentral:rRNA from 1 species